rnacentral:misc_RNA from 1 species
UUGGGUGAAGUCGUAACAAGGUAGCCGUACCGGAAGGUGCGGCUGGAUCACCUCCUUUCUACGGAGAAUUCAGUCGGAUGUUCGUCCGACGGUGUGCGCCCCGCGCGUCGCAUGGUGCGAUGGCGGCGGGGUUGCUGGUGUGGAAGACGUCGUUGGCUUUGCCCUGCCGGUCGUGCGGUGGGUGCCGGGGUGGUAUGGAUGCGCUUUUGGGCUCCCGGAUCGCCACCCCAGGCUUUUUGCCUGGCGCGAUUCGAUGCCCGUCGUGCCUGGGGGCCGGCCGUGUGCCGGCGCGAUGGCGUGGCGGUGCGUGGUGGCUUGAGAACUGGAUAGUGGACGCGAGCAAAACAAGAGUUUUUGAAUCUUUGUUUUGCUGUUGAUUUCGAAUCGAACUCUAUUGUUCGUUUCGAUCGUUUUGUGAUCAUUUUUAGUGUGAUGAUUUGUCGUCUGGGAA